AACCCGAAAUUGAUGGGUUUAGUGAGGCCUUCUGACUGGCGCCGCUACUCUGGCAACAGAGCGGCGGAUGCCGGGAAGUUGGUCAAACUUGAUCAUUUAGAGGAAGUAAAAGUCGUAACAAGGUUUCCGUAGGUGAACCUGCGGAAGGAUCAUUACCGAUCGACGCAUCCAAAACCUGUCAUGGGUUUUCAGUGUGAAUUGUCAAUUCAAUUUUUAGGGGUCGGCGAGAUGCCGUUAAAUGGCGCGUGGGCGUGUGCGACGCACACGUGCGCACGUCAGCCCCGCCAUUGUUUUUGUCAUCGAACUGUAACGUUUUGACUGAAAGUGAAUACUAAAAAAAGAGAGACAACUUUUGACGGUGGAUCUCUUGGCUCACGUAUCGAUGAAGAACGCAGCCAGCUGCGAUAAGUAGUGUGAAUUGCAGAAUUCAGUGAAUCAUUGAAUCUUUGAACGCAAAUGGCGCUCUUGGGUUCUCCCAGGAGCAUGUCUGUCUGAGUGUCGGAUAUCUUACGAAGCGAUCGUGCAUCGAUUGCGGAUUUGAGGUGUCACGGAGAGUGCAAACAACUCAGGCCGUGUCCCUCGAAAGGAGGCAGCUGCGGAGCCGCACGCGCUAUUAUUUUCUGUAAUAGCGAGUGACCUCUAUGAAAAAGUCAUGGGUUCAGUGCGUAGGCUAAAAUGCAAAUUCCUCCGUGCUACCAUGAUGUAGAGGUUGUGUGUCCCAGUUUUUGUUUAUGUUUUUUAAACAACCAAAAUCUUGACCUCAGAUCAGGCAAGGCUACCCGCUGAAUUUAAGCAUAUUAAUAAGCGGAGGAAAAGAAACUAACAAGGAUUCCCUCAGUAACAGCGAGUGAAGCGGGAACAGCUCAAAUUUGAAAUCUCCGACGCUUGCGUCGGCGAGUUGUAGUUGCGAGAAGCACUUUCUAGGCGGAUCGGUGGUGCCUAAGUUGCUUGGAACAGUACGUCAUAGAGGGUGACAACCCCGUCUGUGGCACGACCGGGCGCUCACGAUGUGCUUUCGAGAGUCGGGUUGCUUGGGACUGCUCCCCCCACAAGAAGCAACCC
rnacentral:rRNA from 1 species